UACGUAGGGCGCAAGCGUUGUCCGGAAUUAUUGGGCGUAAAGAGCUCGUAGGCGGUCUGUCGCGUCCGUUGUGAAAACUCGGGGCUCAACCCCGAGCCUGCAGUCGAUACGGGCAGACUAGAGUGCGGUAGGGGAGACUGGAAUUCCUGGUGUAGCGGUGAAAUGCGCAGAUAUCAGGAGGAACACCGGUGGCGAAGGCGGGUCUCUGGGCCGUAACUGACGCUGAGGAGCGAAAGCGUGGGGAGCAAACAGG
rnacentral:rRNA from 1 species